ACCUCCAAUAAGUGAAUCGGGUUUAGACUGGGCAGGUAACGCUUGGCUCCUAAGGCUUACCUUUUCUUACCUUGUACCUUUGAUUGACUGGAAUUUUUAUUUCCAGGUUCGAGUGAGACGGAGGGCAUUGUCCCGCCCGUAGCUCCUGUGGUACCGGAGGUCACCCCGGAGGUUGGUUGUCCCGCGGAGGGUGAUCAGGGAGCUCCAUCUGAUCAAGCACCAGUCAAGGAGGUGAAUGAAACUCUGAUUGCUGAGCCGGAGUCCGAGGUGGA
rnacentral:lncRNA from 1 species